rnacentral:pre_miRNA from 1 species
AGUGAGUGUUGGUCUAGAACACAGUGAUAUAAUUUGUGACUAGAUUUUUACACUCACCA